GCGGCCUAUCAGCUUGUUGGUGGGGUAAUGGCCUACCAAGGCGACGACGGGUAGCCGGCCUGAGAGGGCGACCGGCCACACUGGGACUGAGACACGGCCCAGACUCCUACGGGAGGCAGCAGUGGGGAAUAUUGCACAAUGGGCGGAAGCCUGAUGCAGCGACGCCGCGUGAGGGAUGACGGCCUUCGGGUUGUAAACCUCUUUCACCCAUGACGAAGCGCAAGUGACGGUAGUGGGAGAAGAAGCGCCGGCCAACUACGUGCCAGCAGCCGCGGUAAGACGUAGGGCGCGAGCGUUGUCCGGAAUUAUUGGGCGUAAAGAGCUCGUAGGCGGCUUGUCGCGUCGGCUGUGAAAUCCCGUGGCUCAACUGCGGGUCUGCAGCCGAUACGGGCAGGCUAGAGUUCGGUAGGGGAGACUGGAAUUCCUGGUGUAGCGGUGAAAUGCGCAGAUAUCAGGAGGAACACCGAUGGCGAAGGCAGGUCUCUGGGCCGAUACUGACGCUGAGGAGCGAAAGCGUGGGGAGCGAACAGGAUUAGAUACCCUGGUAGUCCACGCUGUAAACGCUGGGCGCUAGGUGUGGGGGACCUCUCCGGUUCUCUGUGCCGCAGCUAACGCAUUAGGCGCCCCGCCUGGGGAGUACGG
rnacentral:rRNA from 1 species